rnacentral:rRNA from 1 species
GAUGAACGCUGGCGGCGUGCUUAACACAUGCAAGUCGAACGAAGCAUUUAGAACAGAUUAUUUCGGUAUGAAGUUCUUUAUGACUGAGUGGCGGACGGGUGAGUAACGCGUGGGUAACCUGCCUUGUACUGGGGGAUAGCAGCUGGAAACGGCUGGUAAUACCGCAUAAGCGCACGGUGCUGCAUGGCACAGUGUGAAAAACUCCGGUGGUAUAAGAUGGACCCGCGUCUGAUUAGCUAGUUGGUGAGAUAACAGCCCACCAAGGCGACGAUCAGUAGCCGACCUGAGAGGGUGACCGGCCACAUUGGGACUGAGACACGGCCCAGACUCCUACGGGAGGCAGCAGUGGGGAAUAUGCACAAUGGAGGAAACUCUGAUGCAGCGACGCCGCGUGAGUGAAGAAGUAAUUCGUUAUGUAAAAGCUCAUCAGCAGGGAAGAUAGUGACGGUACCUGACUAAG